rnacentral:rRNA from 1 species
AGAGUUUGAUCCUGGCUCAGGAUGAACGCUGGCGGCGUGCUUAACACAUGCAAGUCGAACGAGCCUUCGGGCUAGUGGCGGACGGGUGAGUAACGCGUGGGAAUCUGCCCUCAGGAGGGGGAUAACGGCCGGAAACGGCCGCUAAUACCCCAUAUGCCGAGAGGUGAAACGAAUUUCGCCUGAGGAUGAGCCCGCGUCUGAUUAGCUAGUUGGUGGGGUAAUGGCCCACCAAGGCGACGAUCAGUAGCUGGUCUGAGAGGAUGAUCAGCCACACUGGGACUGAGACACGGCCCAGACUCCUACGGGAGGCAGCAGUGGGGAAUUUUCCGCAAUGGGCGAAAGCCUGACGGAGCAACGCCGCGUGAGGGAUGAAGGCCUCUGGGCUGUAAACCUCUUUUCUCAAGGAAGAAGACAUGACGGUACUUGAGGAAUAAGCCACGGCUAAUUCCGUGCCAGCAGCCGCGGUAAUACGGGAGUGGCAAGCGUUAUCCGGAAUUAUUGGGCGUAAAGCGUCCGCAGGCGGCCUUGUAAGUCUGUCGUUAAAGCGUGGAG